UACGUAGGGUGCAGGCGUUAAUCGGAAUUACUGGGCGUAAAGCGUGCGCAGGCGGUUUGCUAAGACAGGUGUGAAAUCCCCGGGCUUAACCUGGGAACUGCGCUUGUAACUGGCAAGCUUGAGUGUGGCAGAGGGGGGUGGAAUUCCACGUGUAGCAGUGAAAUGCGUAGAGAUGUGUAGGAACACCGAUGGCGAAGGCAGCCCCCUGGGCUAACACUGACGCUCAUGCACGAAAGCGUGGGGAGCAAACAGG
rnacentral:rRNA from 1 species